GAUGAACGCUGGCGGCGUGCCUAAUACAUGCAAGUCGAGCGAACAGACGAGGAGCUUGCUCCUCUGACGUUAGCGGCGGACGGGUGAGUAACACGUGGAUAACCUACCUAUAAGACUGGGAUAACUUCGGGAAACCGGAGCUAAUACCGGAUAAUAUAUUGAACCGCAUGGUUCAAUAGUGAAAGACGGUUUUGCUGUCACUUAUAGAUGGAUCCGCGCCGCAUUAGCUAGUUGGUAAGGUAACGGCUUACCAAGGCAACGAUGCGUAGCCGACCUGAGAGGGUGAUCGGCCACACUGGAACUGAGACACGGUCCAGACUCCUACGGGAGGCAGCAGUAGGGAAUCUUCCGCAGUGGGCGAAAGCCUGACGGAGCAACGCCGCGUGAGUGAUGAAGGUCUUCGGAUCGUAAAACUCUGUUAUUAGGGAAGAACAAAUGUGUAAGUAACUAUGCACGUCUUGACGGUACCUAAUCAGAAAGCCACGGCUAAUUACGUG
rnacentral:rRNA from 1 species